rnacentral:rRNA from 1 species
CUCAGGAUGAACGCUAGCGGCAGGCUUAAUACAUGCAAGUCGUGGGGCAGCAUGAGUAGCAAUACUUGAUGGCGACCGGCAAACGGGUGAGGAACACGUACACAACCUUCCUUCAAGCGGGGAAUAGCCCAGAGAAAUUUGGAUUAAUACCCCAUAAUAUAUUUGAUAAGGCAUCUUAUUAAUAUUAAAGCUUCGGCACUUGAUGAUGGGUGUGCGGCUGAUUAGAUAGUUGGCGGGGUAACGGCCCACCAAGUCUACGAUCAGUAGCUGAUGUGAGAGCAUGAUCAGCCACACGGGCACUGAGACACGGGCCCGACUCCUACGGGAGGCAGCAGUAAGGAAUAUUGGACAAUGGACGAAAGUCUGAUCCAGCCAUGCCGCGUGAAGGAUUAAGGUCCUCUGGAUUGUAAACUUCUUUUAUAUGGGACGAAAAAAGGGCAUUCUUGUUCACUUGACGGUACCAUAUGAAUAAGCACCGGCUAACUCCGUG